AUAACAGGAGUAUGGACUCUUCCCUCCUUCCGUCCCUUAUGACCCUGGUCUCCCUGUUUCAUAUACAAAGGCAGCAGCUGGAGAGUGCUUGAGCAUGCUGUAAUGAGCACAAGUGAGAAACUUCCAAAGGCGGUGGUGCAUCCAUGGGUAUGGAGGGGUGGAAGAUGCUCAAUGGACUCUCAGAGGAGAAUAAUCUUGUGUUCCACUGUGGCAAAAAAUAAAAUAUGAUAUUAUGCAAGAUCUUUCUAAGGAAGAAUUCUGAUUUGACAACGUGGAGCUCUGAGUCCCAUAAAAUAAGUGCC
ensembl:lncRNA